GACGAACGCUGGCGGCGUGCUUAACACAUGCAAGUCGAACGGAAAGGCCCUGCUUUUGUGGGGUGCUCGAGUGGCGAACGGGUGAGUAACACGUGAGUAACCUGCCCUUGACUUUGGUAUAACUUCAGGAAACUGGGGCUAAUACCGGAUAGGAGCUCCUGCUGCAUGGUGGGGGUUGGAAAGUUUCGGCGGUUGGGGAUGGACUCGCGGCUUAUCAGCUUGUUGGUGGGGUAGUGGCUUACCAAGGCUUUGACGGGUAGCCGGCCUGAGAGGGUGACCGGCCACAUGGGGACUGAGAUACGGCGCAGACGCCUACGGGAGGCAGCAGGGGGGAAUAUUGCACAAUGGGCGGAAGCCUGAUGCAGCAACGCCGCGUGCGGGAUGACGGCCUUCGGGUUGUAAACCGCUGUCGCCUGUGACGAAGCGUGAGUGACGGUAAUGGGUAAAGAAGCACCGGCUAACUACGUG
rnacentral:rRNA from 1 species